UAGUCAAAAACAGGAAACCAAAAUUGAGUAGUACGUUCUGCUUCUAUAUGUUAUACGCUAUAGUAUUUGUCUCGUAGAUGGAAAAUUUUCGUCAGUGAUUUCUACUGUAAACAGAACGUUACAUUCAUAAUGCCAAACUUCUAUUUGAAUAUAUGCUUUCUUUAUGAGAUUGAUAAAUCAUGCAUAGAAAGAAAAAGCACUGAUGAGAAAACGACAAAAUCUAUCAGUUUCACUGUAGGCAAACAUUAAACUAUUUACUUGUUUCAUCGUAAUAAUAAUCGUAAAACAUACAUUGAUAUUCGUAUGCAAAUUGGAAAUGAUGUACAUUAAAUACUUGCGUUAUAAUAUUCACGUCCGCAGAUUAUAUUGAAGGAGGCGGCUACAAAGCCUCUCUGAACACAGCCUGUUGAACACAGAUGACUUGGCAGAGAUGACGUUUGCAGAAUGCAGACAAGACAUUUCAAAGAUCGCUAUGCAAGAGAGUUUUGAGCUAAGUUGGUGGACACAACCGCUAUAGAAACUUGUGAAACGCUGAUCUCUGACGCUGGUGAGAGGACGAAACCAAAACUUGUGGAUUAUCUAAAUAUCUAGUCCGAAUACUUGCAACAUGAGGAGGAGAUUUAACUGUGCUCUAUCAGGCAUGAACAGGAACAAGUAAACUAUACCACAUCCAAUGGCUUCCGAACAGUUUCCAUCUAACCAAUUUCAAUUAUAGAUCUGGUUUGCAUCACCUCUAAACUAUAGAAGAUACAUGUCCAAAAUGUCACACAGUAGAAUCUAAUCCGAAAACACAUGAUAAUGAAUUGAGCAAUUUAACCACACGGCCAUAAGAGUGGAAGACAAUAAACUGAGAUAAAAUGAUUAAAUCUUUCCCAUUGCAGGGUAUUGUAUUAUUUGUUACUGAAUGUUGUAGUCACUUCGAAGAUGGUGUGUGAUCUUGUUUGCAUUUCCU